ACCUGGGAAGCCGAGCCAGUGCCCUUCUCCUCCACCAGAUGGCGCCACCGCAGAGCAACCGCUCCUCUUUCCUGCAGAACCUCUGCAGGCUUUUGUAGAAAGCUCUUCUGAAAGGAAGCCCCUUUCCUGGGGGCUUCAGGAUCCCCUCCGCAGAUGUUGCCAAUUUCAUCAUCUCCUCCAGAGCGCAGGUGUAUUUUGUCCCAGCAAUGAGGAAGUGACAACAAAGGACAUUCUUCCGUAUGCUACAACAUGGAUGAACCUUGAGGAUAUUAUCCUAAAGGAAACAAGUCAUUCACAAAAAGACAUAACUAUGACUCCACAUAUAUAAGGAAGCUCAUCUGGUCCCAGCACCAAGAAGGAAGCUCCCCGCCUCCAUCCCAGGCUCCUAGGAGAGGGAAGCUGAGCCGAUCCCAGCACCCAGAAGGAAGCCCCACCACCACCAUUCCAAGCUCUGGGCAGAGAAGCUAAGCCAGUCCCAGCACCCAAAAGGAAGCUCCCCUGCUGCCAUCCCAAGCUCCUAGGGCAGAGAAAGUGAGCCGUGUGGGCACUAGAAGCACCCCCCACUCCGUGGAAAUGAGAAGACACAUAAACAAGCCUCAAAAACAGACUUCUGGAUCACCUACAGCAACACCAAAGGGAAACAAGAUGGAACACUGUGAUACUCAACUACCUGGAUUUUCUGAACUGGCAACAAAAGAGGAUCUGGGAAAAAUGAAAUCGGAAAUAAUUACUCAGAUAACAGCUAAGAUUUUGCUCAUGGUACAAGACAUGAUUAAUAAAUCUAGAGAGGACACAGAUAAAAAAAUAGAGGAUCUGAGGAAUAUGAUGGAAUCCCAACAUAGUAAACAAAUGGAAUCCAUAAAACAGAUACAAACAGAUUUCCAAGAGAUUAAAAACUCCAUCGAAAGUCUGCACAGCAGAAUGAACCAAUGUGAGGAUAGAAUUUUCAGAAGUAGAAGAUAAGAUUGCAAUUAGUGACCAGGAAAAGAAAAAUUGCUUUAAAAUUGUAAGGGAACACAAGAAAUCAAUCCAGCAGCUGCUAGACGAUGAAAAGAAGAAUAACAUAAGACUGAUUGGAGUCAAUGAAGAAAGAGGAGAGAGUGCAGAUGACAUAAAAAAAAACUCUUCACAGAAGUGAUGGCAGAAAACUUCCCAAGGAGAGGAAAAGAACUUGACAUACAGAUAAGUGAGGC
rnacentral:lncRNA from 1 species